rnacentral:rRNA from 1 species
UAGGGAAUCUUCGGCAAUGGACGAAAGUCUGACCGAGCAACGCCGCGUGAGUGAAGAAGGUUUUCGGAUCGUAAACUCUGUUGGUAGAGAAGAACGUUGGUGAGAGUGGAAAGCUCAUCAAGUGACGGUAACUACCCAGAAAGGGACGGCUAACUACGUGCCUG